ACUUUAUCAAAUAAAAACAAAUCUGGACUUAGGAACUUUGCUGCUUGGGGAUCUGACCACAGCACUUUUCACCACUGAUUUUACCUGAAGUCCAGACUUUCGCCAAGCCUCCUGUGACUGUGGGAAAAGGGGCACAACACUCAGGAAGUGAUGGGAGCACAUGUUUUCCUGACCUUGACAGUGUGAAUGCGUCUGUUUUGUUUCUCUUUAGUGAUUAUCUAUGUGACCAUCAAGUGGAGAAAGAUAUCACUGGUGUCAGCUAAGAAGUGGAGAGCUAAUGCAUUAAGCUUCAUUCUGCAGCCAGUUGAGGGGGACGGCAAGCCCAAGGAAUAAAGAAUGCAGUGGGGGCGCUAAAGAAGAAGCGGAAGUCUGCUAAGUCAUUGGCACUUGCUUCAGAGAAAGAGAGCUCGAGAUGCCAGACUGGGCCCUAGAGGGAGAAGGGCCUGUGUUUGAUUUUUGGAUGACAAGUGUGACCAAGACUAGCUGUAUAACUUCCAGGACCCAGAGCAAUAUCAAUGCAGGGCCCCCUUUUUAAAAAUUAAGCAUUUCAAGACAGCAACAACAAAGCAUGAAACCAAGCAUGGGACCCUGCAGGGUGUGGGGCCCUGUGUGACUCAGCAAGUCGCACACCCACAAAGACUGUCCUGAGGGUGGCUAAGGUGACCCUCACAUGUGCUCUCACUGUGGCACGUCCCCUGCUGUGCCACGGCAUGCACUGUGGCACUUCACGUACUGUGUUUUGAUAGCAGCAGUUCUCGUCUGUAAGCUUGAUGAGGAGGAACCAGCAAGGAUGUGCCAGUAAGGAAGCUAGCACUAGAGUGUAGAGAGGGAGGGAGUCUGACGGAGGUCGCUCGGCCUCACCACCACGCGCUCUCCUCUCCUGCAGCUCCAGCCGUGAGUUGGGACAAGCGACGGAGGUUCUCCUAUGUACAGGAAGUCUUGUUUAAACUCCCAGGACUUUAGUUUCCUUCAGAUUCCAGCAAAUAUUUUAAUCAUAAGUUCUAAUAAAAGGAUACUGACUCUAAGGCUGGGGGGAAGA
rnacentral:lncRNA from 1 species